CGCCUGUGCACUCCAAGCUGCCUAAACACAACCUGUGACACAUUGCACCGGUGCUUGCUUAACCGCUGUGCGCCAGUCUGCGGGUUACUCAGGUGGCCGCCAUGCUGAUGAUUCUGCUGGGCGUCAUGACGAAGGUGGGCGUUUUCGUUCUGAGCAUCCCUGCCCCGAUCAUCGGCGGCCUGCUGCUGGUCUUGCUCCCGACCUUCACGGGGGUGGGGCUAUCGCACCUGCGCUACGUCGACCUAACGUCCAACAGGAACGUCUUCAUCAUCGGGGUCUCGCUCACCUUUGGUAUCAUCGUACCAUCGCACAUCGGACCCCCGGCAAGCUUCAACGUCACUACAAUUCGGAUCGUUGACAAAGCCCUCUACACCUUCUUUUCUACUGGUUCUGUGAUCGGCGGCGUCAUUGGAUGCUUUCUUGACCA